GGUGGUGGUACAUUGGUUCGGAUGUUGGACGUCUGAUUGGAAGGUCGUGUGUUCAAAUCCCACCACCACCA